UACGAAGGGGGCUAGCGUUGUUCGGAAUCACUGGGCAUAAAGGGCGCGUAGGCGGCUUUGUAAGUCGGGGGUGAAAGCCUGUGGCUCAACCACAGAAUUGCCUUCGAUACUGCAUGGCUUGAGACCGGAAGAGGUAAGUGGAACUGCGAGUGUAGAGGUGAAAUUCGUAGAUAUUCGCAAGAACACCAGUGGCGAAGGCGGCUUACUGGUCCGGUUCUGACGCUGAGGCGCGAAAGCGUGGGGAGCAAACAGG
rnacentral:rRNA from 1 species